GGUCAAUAAUGAAAAUAGCCAAAUCUGAGCAUCAAAAGACCUUCCAGUCUACCUGAUGUAUGAUCUCUAUAGUUCUGAGA
ensembl:snoRNA small nucleolar RNA U2-19